CAGUCGCCGCGGGAACACGUAGGUGGCAAGCGUUGUCCGGAAUUAUUGGGCGUAAAGGGCUCGCAGGCGGUUUCUUAAGUCUGAUGUGAAAGCCCCCGGCUCAACCGGGGAGGGUCAUUGGAAACUGGGAAACUUGAGUGCAGAAGAGGAGAGUGGAAUUCCACGUGUAGCGGUGAAAUGCGUAGAGAUGUGGAGGAACACCAGUGGCGAAGGCGACUCUCUGGUCUGUAACUGACGCUGAGGAGCGAAAGCGUGGGGAGCGAACAGGAUUAGAUACCCCCGUAGUCCCUGUCUCUUAUAU
rnacentral:rRNA from 1 species